UACCUCGUCGACUGGAAGGGAUUCCUUCUGGUCGAUGAGGAACCUAUACCUCAUUUACCGGAAGGGAUUCCUUCUUGUUGAUGAGGAA
rnacentral:miRNA from 1 species